UACGGGGGGAGCAAGCGUUGUUCGGAUUUACUGGGCGUAAAGGGCGCGUAGGCGGCGCGACAAGUCACUUGUGAAAUCUCCGGGCUUAACCCGGAGCGGCCAAGUGAUACUGUAGUGCUAGAGUGCGGAAGGGGCUACUGGAAUUCUCGGUGUAGCGGUGAAAUGCGUAGAUAUCGAGAGGAACACCUGCGGCGAAGGCGGGUAGCUGGGCCGACACUGACGCUGAGGCGCGAAAGCCAGGGGAGCGAACGGGG
rnacentral:rRNA from 1 species